rnacentral:rRNA from 1 species
UACAGAGGUCUCAAGCGUUGUUCGGAUUCAUUGGGCGUAAAGGGUGCGUAGGUGGCGCCGUAAGUCAGGUGUGAAAUUUCGAGGUUUAACUUCGAAACUGCAUUCGAUACUGCCGUGCUAGAGGACUGGAGAGGAGACUGGAAUUUACGGUGUAGCGGUGAAAUGCGUAGAUAUCGUAAGGAAGACCAGUGGCGAAGGCGGGUCUCUGGACAGUUCCUGACGCUGAGGCACGAAGGCCAGGGGAGCAAACGGG